rnacentral:rRNA from 1 species
CACAGGAAACAGCUAUGACCAUGAUUACGCCAAGCUUGGUACCGAGCUCGGAUCCACUAGUAACGGCCGCCAGUGUGCUGGAAUUCGGCUUAUUACCGCGGCUGCUGGCACGGAGUUAGCCGGUGCUUCUUCUUCAGUUAACGUCACAGUACGCAGGUA